ACACUCUCUUCCUUCUCUUUAGUUUGCCAGCAUCAGGCGGGAAACCGACUAUUUGGGGGGUAAAGCCCUCCCUCCAAAACCAAUUCCCAAUUCCACAUACACAGACAGAUCCAUUUCUCUCUCUGUAAAACCCUAAUCCUCUCUUCUCAAUUCUAGAGAGAGAAAGAGCAGAGCAGAGCUAGGGAUAAAAUUUCCAUGGCAUUUCCCCGGAACGACCAAGACGACGACACCAACAACAUCGACGUCUACACCUCCGCCGGCGCUCCCCUUAGGUACCUUCCUCUCGACCAUCUUUACUCCCACACUUCUCCUUGCCUUAGCGCUACUACCACUGCAUCAUCUAACGUCAUGUCCAAGAAGGUUAAGGCUCGCAAGCUUACCGUUGCUAACGAUGACCAUCGUAUCGUCGAUGAUGGCUCUGACGGAAAGCCGCCAUUGAUCAAGACUGCGUCUUUAUCUUCUUCUAAGCCUCCAAUUGUGCGUGUCUAUACUCGCCGCUCUAAGAGGCCUCACCCUUCAUCCUCAUUUUACGAUUCGUUAGUAGCUCGGGUGGACCCGACGACGACGAUAUCGGGCGAUGCUGUGGACGAGGGGGGAGGUUCUGAGGCUGGGAGGUUGUUGAAGAAGAAGAGGAGGAAUUUAGGGGUUGGUGAAUUGGUGAAAUUGGGUGUGGACUCGAAUGUUUUGUCCAGUUUGGAUAGGCCACGGUUGAGGGAUUGCCGGAACUAUAAUUUUGUUAGACAGAGUAAUUGCAAGGGUUUGAAGAUGAAGAAGCGGAUCUCUACUGAGAAUGGCGUGAAAAUUUUGUCCGAUUCGGCUUCUACGAAGAGAUGGGUCAGGUUGAGUAUUGAUGGUGCUGAUCCAAAAUCAUUUAUUGGGUUAAAAUGCAAGGUUUAUUGGCCAUUGGACGCUGACUGGUAUUCAGGUCGCAUUGUGGGAUAUCAUCCUGACACUAAUCAUCAUCAUGUUAAAUACGAAGAUGGUGAUGAGGAAAAAUUGGUUCUAUCAAAUGAGAGAACGAAGUUUUACAUUUCUCGUGAAGAAAUGGAAAGUUUGAAUUUGAGUUGCAGUCUUAACAAUGUGGAUAGUGAUUUAUAUGAUUACAAUGAGAUGGUUGUCUUGGCUGCAAGUUUGGAUGACUGCCAAGAAGUUGAGCCUGGGGAUAUUAUAUGGGCCAAGCUUACUGGUCAUGCUAUGUGGCCAGCCAUUGUUGUUGAUGAAUCUCUCAUUGUAGAUCGUAAAGGCUUAAGCAGAACUGCAGGUGGAAGAUCAGUUCCAGUCCAAUUUUUUGGCACCCAUGAUUUUGCAAGGAUUAGAGUGAAGCAGGUUAUCUCAUUUCUCAGGGGACUUCUUUCUUCCUUUCACCUUAAGUGCAAGAAGCAACGUUUUAUUAGAGGCUUGGAAGAAGCGAAAAUGUAUCUGAGUGAACAGAAGCUUCCAAACAGAAUGCUACGCCUGCAAAAUGGAAUUAAUGUAGAUGAAUCUGAUCCAAGUGGAGAGGAUGACGGGGAUACAGAUUUAGAUGAAGAUUGUGUGAAGGAUCUGGGCGUCCAGAGAACGUUGGAGAGCCUUCGAACUUCACCUUAUGUCAUAGGGGAUCUGCAAGUGAUAAGUGUUGGGAAGAUUGUUGAAGAUUCAGAAUAUUUUCAAGAUGAUAGAUCCAUUUGGCCUGAAGGAUAUACUGCUCUGAGGAAGUUUACUUCUAUAACAGAUCCAAGUGCGUGUACUGUGUAUAAGAUGGAAGUAUUGAGAGAUGCUGAGUUACAAAUUCGACCUAUGUUUAGAGUGACUUUAGAAAGUGGAGAGCAGUUCAAGGGAUCCACUCCAUCUUCUUGCUGGAGUAAAAUAUAUAAAAGGAUACGGAAACUUCAAAACCCUUCUGAUGGUUCUUUUAAUGAAGAAAGAUUAGAAAGUACUUACAGAUCUGGCUCUUACAUGUUUGGUUUCUCCAUUCCUGAAGUUGCAAAACUUAUAAAGGGUUUAUCAAAGUCCACACUUUCUUCAAAACUUUCCAUGUGCAAAUUAGCCUCUAGAAGAUAUCGAGACCUGCCAGUUGGCUAUAGGCCUGUUCGUGUAGACUGGAAAGACCUUGAUAAAUGCAGUGUUUGCCAUAUGGAUGAGGAGUAUGAAAACAACCUUUUUCUGCAGUGUGACAAAUGCAGAAUGAUGGUGCAUGCAAGAUGUUAUGGAGAAGUAGAACCAUUUGAUGGAGUUCUAUGGCUGUGCAACUUAUGUCGCCCAGGGGCUCCUGAGUUUCCCCCUCCUUGCUGCCUCUGCCCUGUUAUAGGGGGUGCAAUGAAGCCUACCACUGAUGGGCGCUGGGCUCAUCUGGCUUGUGCCAUAUGGAUUCCAGAAACUUGUUUAUCGGAUGUCAAGCGGAUGCAACCAAUUGAUGGACUAAGUAGGAUCAGCAAGGAUCGUUGGAAGCUGUUAUGCAGCAUUUGCGGUGUUUCUUAUGGGGCCUGUAUUCAAUGUUCAAACAAUAGUUGUCGUGUGGCAUAUCACCCUCUUUGUGCACGAGCUGCUGGGCUUUGUGUUGAGCUCGAGGAUGAAGACAGACUUCAUCUCCUCUCUUUUGAGGAUGAUGAAGAAGAUCAAUGCAUUCGUCUUCUUUCCUUUUGUAAGAGGCAUAAGCAGCCAUCUAAUGAUCGUUCAGCUGUGGAUGAACGCAUUGCACGGACUGCUUGCCAAUGUUCAGACUUCACCCCACCAUCUAAUCCAUCUGGCUGUGCUCGAAGUGAACCUUACAAUUACUUCGGUAGGAGGGGACGAAAAGAACCUGAAGCUCUAGCUGCUGCAUCCUCAAAGCGCUUGUUUGUAGAUAACCAGCCUUAUUUAGUAAGUGGUCACACUCAACAUGGAUUGGGUACAAACUCACUGCCUUCCAACGGGGUUGUAGGCUCUAAGUUCUCUAGCCUUUUAAGGUUGAAAAUCAGUCAGCUUGAGACUCCCAACAACAUACUUUCCAUGGCUGAGAAAUACAAGUACAUGCGGGAGACCUUCCGGAAGAGAUUAGCUUUUGGGAAAUCAGGAAUUCAUGGAUUUGGCAUCUUUGCAAAGCUUCCUCAUAGAGCAGGAGACAUGGUGAUUGAAUACACGGGAGAACUUGUUAGACCUCCUAUUGCUGACAGAAGGGAAAAGUUUAUAUACAACUCAUUGGUGGGGGCUGGGACUUAUAUGUUUCGGAUUGAUGAUGAAAGAGUCAUUGAUGCUACUAGGGCUGGAAGCAUUGCUCAUCUGAUUAACCAUUCUUGUGAGCCCAAUUGCUACUCAAGAGUUAUUAGUGUAAAUGGUGAUGAGCACAUAAUCAUUUUUGCAAAGCGAGACAUCAAAAGAUGGGAAGAGCUCACAUACGAUUAUAGGUUUUUCUCAAUUGAUGAACAACUGGCCUGUUAUUGUGGUUUCCCAAGAUGUCGUGGUGUAGUUAAUGACAUUGAUGCAGAAGAGCGAGCGGCAAAAUUAUAUGCACCUCGCAGUGAAUUAAUAGAUUGGAGAGGAGAAUGAGAGUACUUAUAACUGAUUGGAUGCAUUGUUAGAGAAUAUACGCUAUAACAAGGAAUACAAAUCUAAGGAUUUAUUGGUAGAUUGUGUCAUUGCAUUGUUCAGCUGGCUCAAGAUUAAGAAUUGGAUUUCAUCUUGGUGCUUCUUUCAUAUACAUUAUGAGUGGGCUGGAAAUUGUCCUAGUUUUCUUCAGUUACAACCAUGGUAGGAAUGUGUCUUGCACUUGCAUAUCUCUGAAGUCAAAAGGAUUUCUGUUACCUAGAUGUUGUAAGGUUUCCCUUGAUUCAUCAUGUAGCUGCAAUUUCUGAGAGAAAUUUGGUAUUGCUGUUGCUUUCUAAUCUUUGAUUUCUGUUGACAUUGGGGACUUUUUUUCUUCACGAAAUUGUUGUCUAAAUGUGUGAUGAAUAUACAUCGAUGCAUGUAACUACUUGAAUGCUGUCUAGCUAAGCUAUGUUCAUAUUCAUUUAAUGUUUUGGUGAAGGCCAUUUUAUCUUUAAUCUUAAUGAAUACGUUAUUUAUAUUCUUCUUUCUUGUAAUAUCUCUGAUGUAUCGGUUUAUUGUCUGUCAUUUGUGUCAAGAAAUGUAAAUAUUGCUCUACUGACUGUUUCUUUCCAUUUCUUUCCC